rnacentral:rRNA from 1 species
UACGGAGGGGACUAGCGUUGUUCGGAAUUACUGGGCGUAAAGCGCACGUAGGCGGAUUUGUAAGUCAGGGGUGAAAUCCCGGGGCUCAACCUCGGAACUGCCUUUGAUACUGCAAAUCUCGAGUCCGGAAGAGGUGAGUGGAAUUCCUAGUGUAGAGGUGAAAUUCGUAGAUAUUAGGAAGAACACCAGUGGCGAAGGCGGCUCACUGGCUCGGUACUGACGCUGAGGCGCGAAAGCGUGGGGAGCAAACAGG